rnacentral:rRNA from 1 species
GAUGAACGCUGGCGGCGUGCCUAAUACAUGCAAGUCGAGCGAACGGACGAGAAGCUUGCUUCUCUGAUGUUAGCGGCGGACGGGUGAGUAACACGUGGAUAACCUACCUAUAAGACUGGGAUAACUUCGGGAAACCGGAGCUAAUACCGGAUAAUAUUUUGAACCGCAUGGUUCAAAAGUGAAAGACGGUCUUGCUGUCACUUAUAGAUGGAUCCGCGCUGCAUUAGCUAGUUGGUAAGGUAACGGCUUACCAAGGCAACGAUGCAUAGCCGACCUGAGAGGGUGAUCGGCCACACUGGAACGGAGACACGGUCCAGACUCCUACGGGAGGCAGCGGUAGGGAAUCUUCCGCAAUGGGCGAAAGCCUGACGGAACAACGCCGCGUGAGUGAUGAAGGUCUUCGGAUCGUAAAACUCUGUUAUUAGGGAAGAACAUAUGUGUAAGUAACUGUGCACAUCUUGACGGUACCUAAUCAGAAAGCCACGGCUAACUACGUG